GCUUAAGCAAGCUGAUGGGGUUCGGUUCUUGCUCUGGGAAAAGCAGCAAGAGACAUCUCUGAAUCAGACUUGGUCCAAAACCAGGAGUCUGUAUUCUGUCCAAAACCAGAAAUCUGUGACUUCUCCUGAUCCCUCUGUAGCAGUCAUGUGACAAGAUCGGCCCACAGCCCUGAUUACAACUUCUGCCACCUAGAUCCUGAAUCCAUAGAUGCCAUCUCUGCUCCGAAGUCUGAUGACAAGAAUAAUGAUGAUGACUGAUGAUGACAAACUGUUCUAAAUGCCUUCUGUGUAUUAUCUCAUGCGAUCCUCAGAGCAACCCUUUGAAAGUAGAUACACUACUAUUCCAUUUCACAAAUGAGGAGGCUGAAGCCCGGAAAGACUUAGAAAAUUUCCAAGGCCUUAUCAAUAUUAUGUCUGAAGUAGCUUCAGACCACUUGUCUUCAUCACUCCCCAUUAAGCCUGCUGGGUUUUCCCUCUGAAGUUCUCCUAAAGAACAUAUCCACACUAAUUAUUCUGACAGUUUUGACAGGAAGACAGAGGAGGGCUUACACUAUGCACCAAUAGCAAACAACUAUUAAUAAAGUUUCAUAUUAAUUAUGUUCUCCAAAAUCCCUUCUUGACAAUCUUAUCCCUUCCAUGGCAUUUCUCUGUGUUGCCUCCAUCCAUAAACCUCAGCAGGUUGUCAGUUGUCAGCAACUUGAGAAUCCCCUGCAAACUUUUGGUUCUCUUUCCUCAAUUCUAUAGAACAUUCAGCUCUAUUCAGUCCUUGCUCCUUGGCUAGCCUACAAUACUACCCAGGUGUUCAGCUACAAACUGCCUUCCCCAGAAUGAAUACCACAUACUCAGAAGGUAAUCAUGGUAUAUGGUGCUGAGAUAUGGUGUUUCUAUUAGAAUUUGUUUCUAUGUGCUUACAAAGCCUUUAUAAUUAUAAUUUUAAUGGCUCACUAAAUUAUCUCCUGCUCAUGUUACAUAGUAAGCCAUUUUUAAUUGUUGAAUAUUUUGGUGGUUUUGUUUGUUUUAUUUAUAUAUCACAACAAACAUUUUUAUUCAUUUGGACUUUGUGUAUGUUGAAUUAUUGCUUUAAAAUAAAUUCCCAGAGGAGAGAGUACUC
rnacentral:lncRNA from 10 species